rnacentral:sRNA from 1 species
CUUCUUCAAUUUGUUGUGGGCAAAUCCAGUGAAUAUGACUAUCGAUGCCGCCUGCGGUCAAAAUCAUGCCUUCACCGGCAAUAAUUUCGGUCCCAGCCCCGAUUGGAAUCGUGACAUCCGGCUGAAUAUCCGGAUUACCUGCUUUACCAAUCGCCCAGAUAUGGCCAUCUUUAAUAGCGACAUCGGCCUUGAUGAUGCCAGUUAUCGCAUCGAUGAUUAACGCAUUGGUUAUAACGGUAUCGGCGACUUCUGCAGCAGGCAAUUGUGACUGUCCCAUGCCAUCGCGAAUG